rnacentral:rRNA from 1 species
UGGGGAAUAUUGGACAAUGGGCGCAAGCCUGAUCCAGCAAUGCCGCGUGAGUGAAGAAGGCCUUAGGGUUGUAAAGCUCUUUCGCCCGCGACGAUGAUGACGGUAGCGGGAGAAGAAGUCCCGGCUAACUCCGUGCCAGCAGCCGCGGUAAUACGGAGGGGGCUAGCGUUGUUCGGAAUUACUGGGCGUAAAGGGCGCGCAGGCGGCUGCUCAAGUCAGGCGUGGAAGGCCUGGGCUCAACCCGGGAAUUGCGCUUGAGACUGGGCUGGCUUGAGUGCGGGAGAGGAUGGUGGAAUUCCCAGUGUAGAGGUGAAAUUCGUAGAUAUUGGGAAGAACACCGGUGGCGAAGGCGGCCAUCUGGACCGCAACUGACGCUGAGGCGCGAAAGCGUGGGGAGCAA